CCUACGGGAGGCAGCAGUGGGGAAUAUUGCGCAAUGGGCGCAAGCCUGACCCAGCAAUGCCGCGUGAAGGAAGAAGGCUUUCGGGUUGUAAACUUCUUUGACAGGGGAAGAGCAGAAGACGGUACCCUGAAAACAAGCCACGGCUAACUACGUGCCAGCAGCCGCGGUAAUACGUAGGUGGCAAGCGUUGUCCGGAUUUACUGGGUGGAAAGGGCGUGUAGCCGGGAAGUCAAGUCAGAUGUGAAAUCUGGAGGCUCAACCUCGGAAUUGCAUUUGAAACUGUGUGUCUUGAGUACUUGAGAGGCAGGUGGAAUUCCAGGUGUAGCGGUGAAAUGCGUAGAUAUAAGGAGGAACACCAGUGGCGAAGGCGGUCUGCUGGACAGCAACUGACGGUGAGGCGCGAAAGCGUGGGGAGCAAACAGGAUUAGAUACCCGAGUAGUC
rnacentral:rRNA from 1 species